GGGGGGAGCAAGCGUUGUUCGGAUUUACUGGGCGUAAAGGGCGCGUAGGCGGCGCAACAAGUCACUUGUGAAAUCUCCGGGCUUAACUCGGAGCGGUCAAGUGAUACUGUCGUGCUAGAGUGCGGAAGGGGCAACUGGAAUUCUCGGUGUAGCGGUGAAAUGCGUAGAUAUCGAGAGGAGCACCUGCGGCGAAGGCGGGUUGCUGGGCCGACACUGACGCUGAGGCGCGAAAGCCAGGGGAGCGAACGGGAUUAGAUACCCCGGUAGUCCUGGCCUUAAACGAUGGAUGCUUGGUGUCCGGGGUUACAUAGUCCCCGGGUGCCGUCGCUAACGCCUUAAGCAUCCCGCCUGGGGAGUACGGUCGCAAGACUG
rnacentral:rRNA from 1 species